AUACGGCGGGUGCAAGCGUUAAUCGGAAUUACUGGGCGUAAAGCGUGCGCAGGCGGUUUUGUAAGUCAGAUGUGAAAUCCCCGGGCUUAACCUGGGAACUGCGUUUGAAACUGCAAGGCUAGAGUGUGGCAGAGGGGGGUGGAAUUCCGCGUGUAGCAGUGAAAUGCGUAGAGAUGUGGAGGAACACCGAUGGCGAAGGCAGCCCCCUGGGUCAACACUGACGCUCAGGCACGAAAGCAUGGGGAGCAAACAGGAUUAGAAACCCCAGUAGUCC
rnacentral:rRNA from 1 species